rnacentral:rRNA from 1 species
GCCAGACUCCUACGGGAGGCAGCAGUGGGGAAUAUUGCACAAUGGGGGAAACCCUGAUGCAGCGACGCCGCGUGAGUGAAGAAGUAUUUCGGUAUGUAAAGCUCUAUCAGCAGGAACGAGACAAGACGGUACCUGACUAAGAAGCCCCGGCUAACUACGUGCCAGCAGCCGCGGUAAUACGUAGGGGGCAAGCGUUAUCCGGAAUCACUGGGUGUAAAGGGAGCGUAGACGGCUGUGCAAGCCUGAAGUGAAAGGCGGGGGCCCAACCCCUGGACUGCUUUGGGAACUGUACGGCUGGAGUGCAGGAGAGGUAAGUGGAAUUCCUAGUGUAGCGGUGAAAUGCGUAGAUAUUAGGAGGAACACCAGUGGCGAAGGCGGCUUACUGGACUGUAACUGACGUUGAGGCUCGAAAGCGUGGGGAGCAAACAGGAUUAGAUACCCCAGUAAUG